rnacentral:misc_RNA from 1 species
AAGUCGUAACAAGGUUUCCGUAGGUGAACCUGCGGAAGGAUCAUUAACACUUUAAUUCAUAUUCACCCAUGCGCAUCCUAUGGCCUACCUGUCUCGCUCGGCGGACAGGAGCCGGGGUCUUUGAUCGGGGUCAAUCCGAUACGAAUCUGCCAGCGCGAGGUGUCGUAUUCUAAUCUCUUGUGGACUGUGGUUUUGAAUCGCACAGGCGUAACCCUCGUGUGAUGAGUCCACCGACGCGAACUCGACUGUACAAGCAGAUAACAGCAUUCAAACCUGCUGGAACCUUUUAUUUUAACCUUUGUCUAUCAUACUGAUUUGGGCUUUAGAUCGAGAGGAGCAAUCCUUUCUCUGAGUCCUGAUGGAGAAAUCCAUUCAAAACAAACAAAACACAACUCUUAACAGCGGAUAUCUCGGUUCUC